rnacentral:rRNA from 1 species
UACGUAGGGUGCGAGCGUUGUCCGGAAUUAUUGGGCGUAAAGAGCUUGUAGGCGGUUUGUCGCGUCUGCUGUGAAAAUCCGGGGCUCAACCCCGGACUUGCAGUGGGUACGGGCAGACUAGAGUGUGGUAGGGGAGGCUGGAAUUCCUGGUGUAGCGGUGAAAUGCGCAGAUAUCAGGAGGAACACCGAUGGCGAAGGCAGGUCUCUGGGCCACUACUGACGCUGAGAAGCGAAAGCAUGGGGAGCGAACAGGAUUAGAUACCCGGGUA